AGGGGCCAGUGGCUUCAGCAGCAGCCGGGCGCGGGAGGCGGGGAGACGGUGUGCCCCGGCCAUUUUCAGCUAAGUUUGGAAUCUAACCUGGAGGGA
rfam:Otolemur garnettii contig050726, whole genome shotgun sequence.